UACAGAGGUCUCAAGCGUUGUUCGGAUUUAUUGGGCGUAAAGCGCGUGUAGGCGGCCCUGCAAGUCGGAUGUGAAAUCCCACGGCUCAACCGUGGAAGUGCAUUCGAAACUGCAGGGCUAGAGUCCUGGAGAGGAAGGUGGAAUGCUUGGUGUAGAGGUGAAAUUCGUAGAUAUCAAGCGGAACACCGGUGGCGAAGGCGGCCUUCUGGACAGUGACUGACGCUGAGACGCGAAAGCGUGGGGAGCAAACAGG
rnacentral:rRNA from 1 species